UGUUACUCCAUGAGAAGAGAAAGGCCUUCC
rnacentral:piRNA from 1 species